rnacentral:rRNA from 1 species
UACGUAGGCAGCGAGCGUUGUUCGGAGUUACUGGGCGUAAAGGGUGUGUAGGCGGUUGUUUAAGUUUGGUGUGAAAUCUCCCGGCUCAACUGGGAGGGUGCGCCGAAUACUGAGGGACUAGAGUACGGGAGAGGAAAGUGGAAUUCCUGGUGUAGCGGUGAAAUGCGUAGAUAUCAGGAGGAACACCGGUGGUGUAGACGGCUUUCUGGACCGACACUGACGCUGAAACACGAAAGCGUGGGUAGCAAACAGG